UACGGAGGGGGCUAGCGUUGUUCGGAAUUACUGGGCGUAAAGCGCGCGCAGGCGGUCCUUUAAGUCUGAUGUGAAAGCCCACGGCUCAACCGUGGAGGGUCAUUGGAAACUGGGGAACUUGAGUGCAGAAGAGGAAAGCGGAAUUCCACGUGUAGCGGUGAAAUGCGUAGAGAUGUGGAGGAACACCAGUGGCGAAGGCGGCUUUCUGGUCUGUAACUGACGCUGAGGCGCGAAAGCGUGGGGAGCAAACAGG
rnacentral:rRNA from 1 species